GCCAUUUUGAAAUUAAAUAAACAAACAAUAGUCAUCAAGCAGUCUGUGACAUCAUCAAAAGGCCCCCUGAAGACCAUGUGGUGAUUCAGCAAGAUGCCCACAAACAAAGAGAAAGUUUCUAGGCACUGGCAGAAAGUUAAUGCAGACCCAGUAGCUAGGGCAAUGCAUUUAGCAAGGAGACGAGAAAGCAACCAGAGAAGAAAGCAAGCUGCCUUGGCUGCAAAUCCUGAUCACCCGUCAAUCAGGAAUUUAUCAGAUGCUGCAGCUGAGAAGAGGCGAAAGCAAUGGCGGGAAAAUCAAAGAAAACACAGGGCAGAAGCU